rnacentral:rRNA from 1 species
UACGUAGGAUGCAAGCGUUGGCCGGUUUUAUUGUGAUUAAAGGGUGCGUAGGCGGCCUAUUACGUUAGUGGUGAAAACGUUCGGCUUAACCGGAUACCCGCCAUUGAUACUGAUAGACUUGAGUGCGACAGAGGGUGUUGGAAUGUGUGGUGUAGCGGUGAAAUGCUUAGAUAUCACGCAGAACACCAAUUGCGAAGGCAGAUGCCUAUGUCGUAACUGACGCUGAGGCACGAAAGCGUGGGGAGCAAACAGG